GUAUGGGUAUUUAUGCAUUGUAUAUACUGAUUCUGAUAUUGAGAUGGACUUAGGGUCAAAUAUAUGUGAUAUGUACCAAUUGAUAUAGGCUCAGGCCCAACCGAGGCUAAUGAGAGCUAAGGCCAUUUGCCACCGUUACCGUAAUGGGCUAAGGCCCACCCUAAUAUUGUUACUGUUAAGGGCUCAGGCCUAGAUUGAUUAUGUUUCUUUAAUAAGGGGAUUGCACACUGA
rnacentral:lncRNA from 1 species